CCCUCAUAUAUUUUUUCAACCCCCAAAUCCCCCUCGUAUUAACGCCGCUCCUACACUACCCUACCUCUCACAUUCACAGAAAACCCUAGCCCGUCUCCCGAUUCCGGGUGCUCUUUGAUAUGUCUAGCAGGCAAGAUUCAGAUAUUGAUGAUGAUUUCAGUGAUCUUUACAAGGAAUAUACUGGCCCCAUUAGAUCCAACACAACUAAGCCACAAGAGAUAACAGUGACAAACAAAAGGUCUCAUGCUGGUUCCGAUGAGGAAGAGGACGCCCCCGACCCCAAUGCUGUUCCGACGGACUUUACUAGCAGGGAAGCAAAGGUUUGGGAAGCUAAAUCUAAAGCUACUGAGAGAAACUGGAAGAAAAGGAAGGAGGAAGAAUUGAUUUGUAAAAUAUGUGGAGAGUCAGGCCACUUUACCCAGGGAUGUCCAUCUACUCUUGGAGCGAAUCGCAAGUCUCAAGAUUUCUUUGAGAGAGUGCCUGCAAGGGAAAGCCAUGUGAAAGCUUUGUUCACUGAGAAAGUUAUAAAUCAAAUUGAGAAGGAUGUUGGCUGCAAAAUCAAAAUGGAGGAGAAGUUUAUUAUAGUUAGUGGGAAGGACAGAUUGAUCCUAAGGAAAGGAGUGGAUGCUGUACAUAAAAUUAAAGAAGAGGCAGACAAAAAGGGUCCUUCUAGUUCUCAGGCGUCCAGAUCAAGGUCACCUGAGCGCAGAAGUCCUGUUAGCUCUCGUGUACGUUCUGAUUCUCAGAGAUCCAAUCACAGCCCUCAGAAUGCAUCACAGUUACACCAUAGGUAUGGAAGACAAGAGAAGGUUGUUGAUGAUCGCGGUCAUGAUGGUUUUCACAAAAUUGCAAGGGGUAGUUCACAAGCAAGAGCUUAUGGUAAUGAUGGAGCUAGAGGUCGAUCAAGCCAGUCAAAGUCUCCGGCACGCCCCGCUUACAUGAGUAACUCGUAUUAUUCAUAUGAUGGUCAUGGUCAGGGCAGGGGCAUUUACAGGUCUGAUGGUUGGGAUGCUGGUAGACAUGGUUCUGACAUGAAAUCUAACCGUAACUUUGACUACCCCUCCAUUCCACAAUCCUUAGAGAAUCUUGAAUUGGACUACCAAAAGGAUGCUAUAGAUCUAGGAAGAAUUCGGGAUAAGGAAGAAGAUGAAGAAAAUCAGAAGCAUAGAGAGGCCAUCAGAGAAGUAAGAGAGAACUACAUGAAGAAAUUGGCCAUCCUUAGAGUUGAACAUGCAAAGCAAUGGGAGGAGUUUCUUCAACUUGAUGCCCUGAGGAGGCAACAGCUGGCAGGACAGCAUGUGUCAGCCUCUGGGUUUGGCAGUUACAAUCAACAGAGUUAUCAGGAGUAUGAGAACUCAGCAGGUAAUCCACAUUAUUCAGGACCCAACAUACCAAUGGAACCAAGGGGAAGGUAUCCAAACCCUAUGGAUAACUACCAUCCGUCAAGGCCACAAGACAGUUAUGGUGACUUUCAGCGUCAGAGGCGUGAUGAUUAUGGGAAAGCCUAUAACCGAUACUAAUUGGGUAGAUUGGAGUUUUUUUGUGGUGAGUUGUCUUACCCUUUUGACAAGCUGAGAGCACUGAGUUUCAUUUUAUUUCACCUAAAGCAUUGGCUCUGCCAUUUUUAGGUGGCUGUGCCCUUCUCGUCAUAAAAUGUGUUCUUUUAAGGGUAUAUUUACGGAGGUUCUGAAAGUCAAUAUUUGGAAUGGAGAAAAUGUUGGAUAGGAUGCAAGUUGGUGGUAUCCUCGUUCACUACGAUGAAUCCGUCUGGUUAUGUUUGGAGAUGUAGAAAGAUCAAGAGAGAUUCUGACUAUGGUACUGUUUAUGCUGUAAAAACAAUUGAAUCGGGGUGUUCUUAUUUGGGGUUAAAUUAUAUCUUUAUCUACACUAGUGAAGUUUGAGCUUUGGCAUGAGAUUAGGAAAUACUGAAUAUCAUGGUAUAAUUGCCAACUUUUCGGUUCCUUCAAUAGAAGAUGCUUUGAGAAGCUUUUCAUCAAAUGAUGAGUGAUAUAAUUUUCAUAAUGCUGGCAAUUAUAGAGAGUUAAAUCUUCUCUUAAGCCAACAGACAAGGUUCUGCAGAUUAUGGAUUUCUUUCUUCUCUUGGA